CUACGGGUGGCAGCAGUUGGGAAUAUUGCACAAUGGAGGAAACUCUGAUGCAGCAACGCCGCGUGGAGGAUGACACUUUUCGGAGCGUAAACUCCUUUUAUAUAGGAAGAAGAUGACGGUACUAUAUGAAUAAGCGCCGGCUAACUCCGUGGCCAGCAGCCGCGGUAAUACGGAGGGCGCAAGCGUUACGCGGAAUCACUGGGCGUAAAGAGCGUGUAGGCGGAUUAAAAAGUCAGAAGUGAAAUCCUAUAGCUUAACUAUAGAACUGCUUCUGAAACUCUUAAUCUAGAAUGUGGGAGAGGUAGAUGGAAUUUCUGGUGUAGGGGUAAAAUCAGUAGAGAUCAGAAGGAAUACCGAUUGCGAAGGCGAUCUACUAGAACAUUAUUGACGCUGAGACGCGAAAGCGUGGGGAGCAAACAGGAUUAGAUACCCUCGUAGUC
rnacentral:rRNA from 1 species